rnacentral:rRNA from 1 species
GAUCAUUAUUGAAAUAAACCUGAUUAAGUUGUUGCUGGUUCUCUUAGGGGGGACAUGUGCACACUUGUCAUCUUUAUAUAUCCCCUGUGCAUUUUUUUGUAGGGUUUCCUAACCUGAGAGCUGGCCACUCUCAGGUUUCUAGCUCUAUGUUCAUAUAUAUACUCCAAUGUAUGUUACAGAAUGUUUUUGUAGGCAUCUACUAUUAGACAACUUUCAGCGACGGAUCUCUAGGCUCUCGCAUCGAUGAAGAACGCAGCGAAAUGCGAUAAGUAGUGUGAAUUGCAGAAUUCAGUGAAUCAUCGAAUCUUUGAACGCACCUUGCGCUCCUUGGUAUUCCGAGGAGCAUGCCUGUUUGAGUGUCAUUUAUAUAUCAUCAACACACCUAGUGUUGGAUUUAUGGGGGUUUGCUGGACUUUUUCUGAAGGUCAGCUCCCCUCAAAUGCAUUUAGUUUCAUUGGUGUGAUAACUUAUCUACGCUAUUGAACAUUUUCAUUAUUAAAUGUGACCUCAAAUCAGGUAGG